AUGCGCUGGCAAGCUGGCCUCCGCAGUUCAAGGUUGGAGAACCCUAGCCAACGCCCAAGGGCGGACAGAACCCAGGCGCCACGCAGUAUCCUCGGGCUGCUAAUUUGCUGGACACACAGAGCCCUGUUCUGUAACCUCCCCCUAGGUUGUGGGAUUUUCUGUCAGCAACUUACAGUUCCUCAAUUCGUUCAAGCUUGCAUUCAACAAAUAGUUGAGGACCUAUGGUGAGGCAGUCGCUUGCCUCCUGUGAACAGGUACAUUCGAGGUAAUAAUAAUGAUGAUAUAAUAAUAUAAUAUAAUAAUAUAAUAAUAAUAAUGAUGAUGAACAAGACAAAAAUCCCUGCUUUCCCUACUCUGUGUGUGGUAGGUGUCAGAUGAUGGUAAGUGCCGUGAAGAAAAAAUGCAUCAGGCUGAGAAGAAAAUGUGUGUGUGUGUGUGUGUGUGUGUAGAUGCCAGGGAGGUCAUUAAAUUACAUAGAGAGGCUAGGGAAGACCUCUCUGAUAAGGAGACAUCUGAAAGAAAGCUGAAGGACUAAGGAGAGCGAACCAUGAGGAGUCAGUGGAACGAUUCACGUCCCCUCUAGCUCCUGCCACGGAUGUUCAUAGAUGAAUCCUAAUGGGACUCAGCAAAACAAAGCAAAGGGUCUACCAGCAACAGAACAAACCUUCCAUGGGCAUUUUGCGACUCUCUUUUGUUAACUCUUCCUUGAGGUCUUGCCCUAGUUCCUAAGCGGCUAAUUAACUAAAAUGUAUCUUCCAAACAAAAGAAUCUCAGGCUAGGCUUCUCAAUAUGGCUAAGCUUCUAAGUAGAAUUCUUACAAGUCAGAUUCCAGAAUAAUAGGAGCCACAUAUUAAAAUAUCUCCUUCCUUUGUCUUUUAACCUAACCCAGUAUUUCUUUUCUAGAAAUCUUUCCCAAAAGAAUGAUGCAAAUGUGGACAAUAUUAAUGUGCAGAGAUGAGCACUGGAAUGUUAUUUAUAAAGUGAAAACAUGAAAAUCUAAACCAUAAGAUACUGUUUUAUUAAACUAACAUAGCGGGGAUCAAUAAGUUAUUUAAUGCUACAAAUAAUAAUUGGUGACAUGGUGAAUUGACUAUAAGUGGUAGAUAGAAGUAGAGAAAAUGGUAUCAUGCAAUGCAUAGAAUCUUAACUAUGAGUAAAAUUUGGGGGCAAAUUAGAAGUAUUUGUAACAAAAUCGAGUGGUAGGUUUAUAGAUGAUUUUUAUAUAUUUUUCUUUUAAAAUGAAUGCGGUUGAAAUAUAAACUACAUAGAAUAAGAUGCACAUAAUUUAAGUGAAAAAUUAAUAAGCAUCGGCAAUUAUAUAAACCCAUGUAACCAUCAUCCGGGCUAAGAUGCACAAAAUCAGCCCAAAAAGGUUCCUUGUGGCUAUUUGUUGUCAACAAAUCUCACGCACCUAGUGACCUGAUUUCUGUCACUAUAAAUGACUUUCGCCUGUUCUGGGUUUCAUAUAAUGGAAUAUACGGCAGUACAAUAAAAUGUACGUACAAUAGAAGAGGAUGUACUCU
rnacentral:lncRNA from 1 species